GUGUCAGCCGCCGCGGUAAUACGGGGGGUGCGAGCGUUGUCCGGAUUCACUGGGCGUAAAGGGCGCGUAGGCGGCUGGCUCAGUCGGGCCUGUAAGUGCGGGGCUCAACCCCGUGAUGGGCUCGGGACGGGCUGGCUGGGGCGCGGUCGAGGGAGACGGAAUGCCGGGUGUAGUGGUGAAAUGCGUAGAGAUCCGGCGGAACACCGGUGGUGAAGGCGGUCUCCUGGGCCGAGGGCCGACGCUGAGGCGCGAGAGCGUGGGGAGCGAACCGGAUUAGAUACCCGCGUAGUCC
rnacentral:rRNA from 1 species